AGCGUACACGGUGGAUGCCCUGGCAGUCAGAGGCGAUGAAGGACGUGCUAAUCUGCGAAAAGCGCCGGUAAGGUGAUAUGAACCGUUAUAACCGGCGAUGUCCGAAUGGGGAAACCCGGUGCACUUCGGUGCAUCAUCGUUAGCUGAAUACAUAGGCUAACGAGGCGAACCGGGGGAACUGAAACAUCUAAGUACCCCGAGGAAAAGAAAUCAACCGAGAUUCCCCCAGUAGCGGCGAGCGAACGGGGAACAGCCCAGAGCCUGAAUCAGCUUGUGUGUCAGUGGAACGGUCUGGAAAGGCCGGCGAUACAGGGUGACAGCCCCGUACACGAAGGCACACAGGCUGUGAGCUCGAUGAGUAGGGCGGGACACGUGAUAUCCUGUCUGAAGAUGGGGGGACCAUCCUCCAAGGCUAAAUACUCCUGACUGACCGAUAGUGAACCAGUACCGUGAGGGAAAGGCGAAAAGAACCCCGGCGAGGGGAGUGAAACAGAACCUGAAACCGUGUACGUACAAGCAGUGGGAGCCUUCGUAAGAGGGUGACUGCGUACCUUUUGUAUAAUGGGUCAGCGACUUAUAUUCUGUAGCAAGGUUAACCGUAUAGGGGAGCCGAAGGGAAACCGAGUCUUAANNUCAUCUCCGGGGGUAGAGCACUGUUUCGGCUAGGGGGCCAUCCCGGCUUACCAACCCGAUGCAAACUGCGAAUACCGGAGAAUGUUAUCACGGGAGACACACGGCGGGUGCUAACGUCCGUCGUGAAGAGGGAAACAACCCAGACCGCCAGCUAAGGUCCCAAAGUCAUGGUUAAGUGGGAAACGAUGUGGGAAGGCCCAGACAGCCAGGAUGUUGGCUUAGAAGCAGCCAUCAUUUAAAGAAAGCGUAAUAGCUCACUGGUCGAGUCGGCCUGCGCGGAAGAUGUAACGGGGCUAAACCAUGCACCGAAGCUGCGGCAGCGACACGUAUGUGUUGUUGGGUAGGGGAGCGUUCUGUAAGCCUGUGAAGGUGUGCUGUGAGGCAUGCUGGAGGUAUCAGAAGUGCGAAUGCUGACAUAAGUAACGAUAAAGCGGGUGAAAAGCCCGCUCGCCGGAAGACCAAGGGUUCCUGUCCAACGUUAAUCGGGGCAGGGUGAGUCGACCCCUAAGGCGAGGCCGAAAGGCGUAGUCGAUGGGAAACAGGUUAAUAUUCCUGUACUUGGUGUUACUGCGAAGGGGGGACGGAGAAGGCUAUGUCAGCCGGGCGACGGUCGUCCCGGUUUAAGCGUGUAGGCUGACUUUCCAGGCAAAUCCGGAAGGUUAAGGCUGAGGCGUGAUGACGAGGCACCACGGUGCUGAAGUGACAAAUGCCCUGCUUCCAGGAAAAGCCUCUAAGCAUCAGGUAACAUCAAAUCGUACCCCAAACCGACACAGGUGGUCAGGUAGAGAAUACCAAGGCGCUUGAGAGAACUCGGGUGAAGGAACUAGGCAAAAUGGUGCCGUAACUUCGGGAGAAGGCACGCUGACAUGUAGGUGAAGCCCCUGCGGGUGGAGCUGAAGUCAGUCGAAGAUACCAGCUGGCUGCAACUGUUUAUUAAAAACACAGCACUGUGCAAACACGAAAGUGGACGUAUACGGUGUGACGCCUGCCCGGUGCCGGAAGGUUAAUUGAUGGGGUUAUCGCAAGAGAAGCUCCUGAUCGAAGCCCCGGUAAACGGCGGCCGUAACUAUAACGGUCCUAAGGUAGCGAAAUUCCUUGUCGGGUAAGUUCCGACCUGCACGAAUGGCGUAAUGAUGGCCAGGCUGUCUCCACCCGAGACUCAGUGAAAUUGAACUCGCUGUGAAGAUGCAGUGUACCCGCGGCAAGACGGAAAGACCCCGUGAACCUUUACUACAGCUUGACACUGAACAUUGAGCCUUGAUGUGUAGGAUAGGUGGGAGGCUUUGAAGCGUGGACGCCAGUCUGCGUGGAGCCAACCUUGAAAUACCACCCUUUAAUGUUUGAUGUUCUAACCUGGCGCCGUGAUCCGGCGUGGGGACAGUGUCUGGUGGGUAGUUUGACUGGGGCGGUCUCCUCCCAAAGUGUAACGGAGGAGCACGAAGGUCAGCUAAUCCUGGUCGGACAUCAGGAGGUUAGUGCAAUGGCAUAAGCUGGCUUGACUGCGAGAGUGACGGCUCGAGCAGGUGCGAAAGCAGGUCAUAGUGAUCCGGUGGUUCUGUAUGGAAGGGCCAUCGCUCAACGGAUAAAAGGUACUCCGGGGAUAACAGGCUGAUACCGCCCAAGAGUUCAUAUCGACGGCGGUGUUUGGCACCUCGAUGUCGGCUCAUCACAUCCUGGGGCUGAAGUAGGUCCCAAGGGUAUGGCUGUUCGCCAUUUAAAGUGGUACGCGAGCUGGGUUUAGAACGUCGUGAGACAGUUCGGUCCCUAUCUGCCGUGGGCGCUGGAGAAUUGAGGGGGGCUGCUCCCAGUACGAGAGGACCGGAGUGGACGCAUCACUGGUGUUCGGGUUGUCAUGCCAAUGGCACUGCCCGGUAGCUAAAUGCGGAAGAGAUAAGUGCUGAAAGCAUCUAAGCACGAAACUUGCCCCGAGAUGAGUUCU
rnacentral:rRNA from 1 species